rnacentral:lncRNA from 1 species
ACAAAAACUAGCCAAGUACUAUUGAUUUGGGCUCUUUCUUUCUUUGUAGACUGAGUCUGGUGCUACUUUGAACCUAAAAAUAAAAAUCAACUCUAACUAUUUCUGUGAAUUGGAAUAUAACAUUUCCUAUGAUGAGUUAAAGGACUACAUUUCUCCAAAUCCCCACUUUGGUUCUUGAAUUCAGAGUUUUGAAAGUCCUUGUGUGCUCUCAUCAGCUGUAGUCAGGAGGGACUAUUUGUGGAACUUCUCCUGGAAAGGAGACCAGAGCUGGAGAGGGAGCUGGUGGAGUUUUACACAAUGUCAGCCCACCCUUUCCCCGUGGAAUAGGAAUUGUUGGCAAAGUAGACAACCUCUCACAGCAUAGUCUCGGCUUUCUCCUUGGAAAAUAUACAAAAAAGAAAAACAACAUUCUAACAUUCGACCGUGAGGAAUGCAUAUUAGCAUCCUGUUUAGAGAGAUCAAAACCUGCAUCUUGAAUCAGCAUUACUAACUGCCCUCCAUAUGUCUAUCUGUAUUAGGAAAUAGGUGAUACUUUUCAGGGCACCGAGUUAAGUAGCCAGUGAAAAGAGAAGGUGAAUGUCAGAGUUAUCCAGAAAAUCCAUCCUAAGAAAAUAAACAACCUGAAUAAUUCAAGUAAAAAAAUUCCACAACUCUUUUUUUCAAAUUAAUAAGCUUAUUUUGGCUGCAUUAUCCUAACAUCUAUUGUAGAGGAUCAAAAUUUAUCAAAAUAUAACUAUAUUGCAUUUUACUUUUCUUACAAAUAAUGAAAUGUAUUAGUCUGUUUUCCUCUGUUGGCAAACUCAUUGUGGAGUUAUUUUAAUGAAUGGCCCACCCUUAUAACUUCCUAAUUUGCAAACCCAAGAAGUUUAAUCAUCUCAAAUAUUGUUCCAAAUAAAGUGAGAAAUGGUGCUGAGGAAAAUCUGAGGUUUCACGAAACUUCAAAGAUUUGCUAAUGGCGCUUUCAUCAACAUUUGCCAAUUACAGCUACUUUUAUCCCUCUAAAAAAAAAGCUACCACUCACUUGAGCAUGUCUAAUCGGGAGGUUGAUAAACUUCCUGGGAUGAUCACUUGAUAUUUGUAUAUUAUCAAUUAUGGAAUAUAAGAUUUGGCAUUGAGAUCUAUGUAGUAUUGAUGAGUUUUGUAUUCCAGGAUAAUAAAUUCUAUUGCAUAUAAAUGAAACUAAAUUGUGUAUUUUGUACUAGUCCCAUAGGAAGCUCAUCCUUUUCAAUAAUAUAAGAGUGAUGACUAUAGCUUUCUUCAGGAAUGAGAAUACUGUGAUGAAAAAUCUGAUACCCUAAGCCCAUCACUGAAAGCUAUGUGGUUCAGUCUAUAGUACAUCACCCAUGGGUCAAGAGAAAAGAGAUUUUAUCUGACCCAUAUCUAUAUCUUGCUUCUCUUCUCUACAACAUUUUUUUUCACCAUUUUGCCUAAUGCAACCUAACACUGAAAGAUGAUCCCAGGUCAUAGGCUAUAUAAGGGAAAAUAGUAUGAACGCUAUAGAAUGAAGAAAUACUACCUAGUAUGUUUACAUUACUCAGUUCUCCGUCUUUUCCCUCCUUAUAGUCAUCUUCCACCCAGCCAGAAAAUAACCCUUCUAAAUGUAAGUCUAUGUUCCACUGCUUAAAACCUUCCAAAGGCAAUACAUUGCCUGUGAGACAAAUACAAAUCCCUUGCAGUGCACACAAACCCACCUAUUAUCAGGUUGUUACCCAUUUUCUCCACCCUUCACUUUAUAACCUAAAAAUACCAGAUUACUAUAGUUCUACAAAGCACAUCAUGAUGAAUCACACAUGCUUGUCCAUUACACUUCCUUUGCCUGCCAUCUUACAAAUCUUGACCUUCCUGACCCAAACCCAAUUAACCUACCGGAACCCACGAACCCUCCCUGAACUCCAAAUGAACGAUGGGCCCUUCUGGUUGAUCCCAUAGCACCCUCUGCUGUCUUCCAUUAUAGAACAGAUCACAUCGGGUUUUCCUCCCCCUUUGCUUCUUAGGGGACUGUGAAUUCCUCAAGACCAGACAAAUGUCAUCACCAAUAUUUUAUUCAUCUCUCUGCUAUCCUCUACCCUCCAUCUUUCAGGAUGGAAAUGGGUGGAGAAAGACAGAUGAAACCAGACACAAAGAUAAUAUAAAUAUUUAGAGAAAGAACAGUGACACCAGAGGAAUUCUAGAGCAGAAUAAGUUGCUUAUAGUAAAACAAACCCUAUUAUAUGAGAUUGGGUAUGUCUCUCUUGCUUGCAAUCUAAAAGAAUAAAAUGAACACAAUUUUCAGUAAAUGUUCAUGAGGUAGCUUCCUGGUGGAAUAAUAAAUAUCCUCUCUUAUCUCACAGCAUUCUCUAUUUCCUCCUCAAAAUAUUUUUUGAGCCUGGAUGACUGUUGCAAUCUUCUGGCCCAUUCAGACCUAACUCUUUAAGCCCACGUAAAAGCCUAUUGUCUCUAUGAAGUCUUCUCUAGUUACUCCAGGAAACAUUAUUUUUAUCACCUCUGAAAUUCUAGAAUACUGAUUCUUAUUCUCACCAUUCAUAAAUAUUUCAGGGCUUUCUUUCCUUCCUAAUUAUUUAAUCUCAAAAAAUGCUAUCUGAUUAAACAUAUUGAUAGUGGUAUUGUGGCUAAAACCACUGAUACUCAUUACUGAGAAUAAUGGAAUGAAUGCUUAAAUGUUUUCUCUCUUCUCUCAAUUUUACUUUCAGUUAAAAUAUUCAUAAAUUAUGGAGAAUAAUGGAUUGGAGUGUAUUUAAGACUCCUUUUACCCAUCCAUGUGUUCCUAUAAAAAACUGGAAUUUCAAGUGUCUCAGGGUAAAUAAAGGAGCUGUUUAUAGGCAGGGGAAAGUUUAGUUCCAUUAAAAUUGUCAAAAAAUAUUUUCUGUUCACAGUUGCCACAAAUCCUCUUUGUAACCUUGAGAAAGUAUAUUUCCUUUUUGGAUUUUAGAUUCUUUCCUAUAAAAUGAAUUACUAUAUUUUCUUGAUUCAAUUGGUGUUAAGGAGUAGUAUUAGAUGGUUAAAUUAUUACCUAAAGAUUGUUGAACACAUGUAGCAUAUAUGAGUCCUAGUCCACAACUCAAAUGUAAAAGAAAUGUGGUUUUUUUUAUUUCACUCCAUUUUUACAUUUUAAGGAGACCUACAUUGAAUUUUAUAUAUUAUUUUUAUUUAAAUUUUUAAGAUGCUCCUUGUUUUUUCCUAACAUAGAUCUUCUCACUUCAUUACUAAAAUUUUCUAUAAUUGUAGAGCUUCUGUGUUCACUCAAUCUGGAUGGCAGAAACUUAUUAUUGAUGAGUUCUGGGCUUUCCCCCUCUUUUCCCCAGAGAUGUGCAUAAGUUCUGGGCAUAGAGUAGGGAUCAAGUGCUCAAUAUUGGCUGUCCAGAGUGGUAUUCACUGAGGUACAAUAUCACUGCAUCAUACCUCACAGGUCACACAAAGUCAUCCAUCCCUCAGUCUUGUCCACAAGGCCCUUGAAUCCAGGACCUCUCUCCACAUGUCAGAGUGGAAACCAAAAUGGAAACCAAUCUGCUAUACAUAUAAAACUUACAGUAAUUAAAUAUAAAAAGAUAUACAUAAAGUGCCUAGUUGUGUGUGUGAUGCAAUGUUAGAAACUCAGUGAGUGAUAAGUGCUACUAUUAUUUCUACUUCUUUAAAUAGGUAAUGCAAUGACGUUCAAAAAUAAACAUCUACACAAACACACAAGUUAAAGUAAGAAGCAUCCUUCUCACUCAAGUACCACUUCGUCUGGUUUCUCUGUUCACCCUCUGAGAGAUAACCAUGAUAGACUUUUUUAGGCAAAGACAGUGAAAUAAAAUCUAUGAUAUCCAUAAAAUGGAGACUUUAGGAUAUUUAUUUGCAUAUAUUCAUAUACAUUUAUAAGACUAUUACCAAAACUUUGCAUAAUACUUUGUCAAAUAUUUAUGGAGAACUUUCAUACUCUUCUAAGUGCUUUCAAAAUAUUAACUAAAAAAAAAAUUUAACUAAGUUAUUUCUCAUAAAACACCAUCAGGGAGGUGCACUGGCCACCUUCUUUGACAGAUAAGGAACCCAAGACUUGGUGAAUAACAGUUGGAAAGCAGAGGUGAGAAUUAGUUUUUAGUAUUUCUACCCUAAUGUGACUAUUCUAAUUUAUAUCUGUAUCUAUCUAGCAUUUUCCUAUACCUAUAUUUCAACAUUCUUUUUAGUUUUUCAUCUCUUCAUCCAUUGUCCAAAGUCAAAAUUGCCAUUGUUCUCAGAAACACUUUGGAUAGGCUAAGAAAUAAUUUGUGAAUAGGUUUGAAUAGAGGAGCAUCCACAGACUCUUGUGUGUCAGUAAUAAUCAAACUUAUGUUUCCACUUAAUUUUAUCUUUGAAAGAAUUAUUCAUUUUAAAAAGCAUUGACAGUUGUAUAAAAUCAACAAUCCUAACUUCUAGUAAUACUGAUGACUUAUGUUGAAAAAAAAAUGAGUAUCUUUCUCUAUCCUCACAGUAAUUCUAUUAAUAUAACUUUCUUAUUACUGUCUUUGUUACUAAUUUUUCUCCUUUACUGUAUCUUUUGUAAUGUCAACAUGUCUUCCAAAGAUGCAAAUUUUAUAAUGGGAUUCAUGUUUUCCAGAAAGUUUGAAUAUUUACCAAAUACUUUGAGUUUAAUUUUUUUAAUAUUUAAAUUUUACUGAUUCAUGGAUUCAUAUUAUAUAAAAUGUAUGUAUCAGUAAUAUGCAUAUACUUCUGAAACAAUACAUAGCAUAACCAUCACAAUACUAAAUAAGGCAUUCAAUUUUCAACAUACAUUUGUAGCCUUAUAUUUUACUCCUAGACUUUACUGCCAUCACUCAGAUAUUCAAGAAGUCAGAACAGACACCACAGAAAUACAAAGGAUCACAAGAGAAUACUACAAGCAACUAUAU